CUGAGCAUAGUGUGGGCUGCGAGGCGGGACUCUCUAGUACAAAGGAUGGGUCCCGGGGACUUUGUGUUGGUGUAACGGGGACGCGCACGGAAUAAGGGGGACACCCAGCUUUUGGGGUGCUGUGUACCGGGGUCCCGAACAUGGGGAACGCGGAGAGCGCGGGGGGAACCCCGGGAACCCCCCUGUUACCUCUGAAAGUUCCGAUGCCGGACCCGGGGGAGCUGGAGGAGAGGUUCGCUAUGGUCUUGAGUUCCAUGAACCUUCCCCCCGACAAGGCGCGGCUCCUGCGACAGUAUGACAAUGAAAAAAAGUGGGAUCUCAUCUGUGACCAGGAACGGUUUCAAGUAAAAAAUCCCCCGCACACGUAUAUCCAGAAGCUACAAUCUUUCUUGGACCCAGGAGUGACACGUAAGAAAUUCAGAAGACGGGUCCAAGAGUCUACAAAAGUGCUGCGAGAACUGGAAAUAUCUCUAAGGACAAAUCACAUAGGAUGGGUUCGAGAAUUUUUGAACAAUGACAACAAGGGCCUGGAUGUGCUGGUGGAGUAUCUCUCGUUUGCCCAGUGUGCGGUUAUGUUUGAUUUUGAUGGCCUGGAAAACGGGGAGGAUGGCUUGGUUGAAAAGUCAAAAUCGUGGAGCAGAUCCAUCGAGGAUCUGCAGAAUCCCAACGCCCUCCCUGCCCCUUUCACCAACGGCCUCGCUCGCUCUGCCCGCCAGUCUGUGCUCCGCAGCUACAAUACAUUGCCUGGAAAGAAAGCUUUGAAAAACUCCAGGCUGGUCAGUCAGAAGGACGACGUCCACGUGUGCAUCAUGUGCCUCCGCGCCAUUAUGAACUACCAGUAUGGCUUCAAUCUGGUCAUGUCUCAUCCUCAUGCGGUCAAUGAAAUCGCUCUGAGCUUGAACAACAAGAAUCCCAGGACUAAAGCACUGGUCUUAGAACUACUGGCGGCGGUGUGUCUUGUCCGAGGAGGUCAUGAAAUCAUCCUCUCUGCUUUUGACAACUUUAAAGAGGUCUGUAAGGAGAAGCAUCGUUUUGAGAAGCUCAUGGAAUAUUUCAGGAAUGAAGAUAGCAACAUUGAUUUCAUGGUCGCUUGUAUGCAAUUCAUUAACAUUGUUGUCCAUUCUGUGGAAGACAUGAAUUUCCGUGUGCAUCUUCAAUAUGAGUUCACCAAGUUGGGCCUUGAAGAAUUUCUGGAGAAAUCUAAGCACACAGAGAGUGAGAAGCUUUUGGUUCAGAUUCAGGCCUACCUGGACAAUGUAUUUGAUGUUGGGGGUCUACUGGAAGAUGCCGAAACCAAGAAUGUUGCACUUGAGAAGGUGGAAGAGUUGGAGGAACAUUUGUCUCAUAUGACUGAAAAGCUGCUGGAUUUGGAGAAUGAGAAUAUGAUGCGGGUGGCCGAACUUGAGAAAACGCUGUUACAACGGGAAAAGGACCUGGAGCUCAUGAGGGAAACGUAUGAGAAAACAAGCCACCAGGUGAACACACUAAGGAAAAUCGUAAAAGAAAAGGAGGAAGCAGUUCAACAUCUUCGCCAGCUGGAACAGGCCAACGCUUUGCAGCAGCAGAAGCAGGGCUCUACGGGCACUGUGCUGGCACCUAUCGGGGUUUCUGGUGGAGACUUGUCCAUGUUUGCAGAUUUCCCUCCACCUCCCCCACCACCACCUGCUCCUGCAUCGGCUCCAGCAGCACCGCCUCCACCUCCACCUCCGCCUCCUCCUCCUCCCCCACCCCCUCCACUUAUGCAAAACAAAUGUCCUCCCCCACCGCCACUUCCAUCCUCUUGUCCUGUCAUUAUCACAACUGGAUUAUCUGCGAUCAGAAUCAAGAAGCCAAUAAAAACUAAAUUUCGCCUGCCUGUGUUCAAUUGGACGGCACUCAAGCCCAACCAGAUUAGUGGGACGGUGUUCAGCGAUCUUGAUGAUGAGCGCAUUUUACAGGAUCUGGAUAUGGAUAAAUUUGAAGACAUCUUCAAAACCAAAGCACAGGGGGCUCCCGUAGACCUGAUCUGCUCCAAGAACAAGUCUUCUCAAAAAUCUGUUAGCAAAGUGACUCUUCUAGAAGCAAACCGAGCCAAGAACUUGGCCAUCACUCUGCGAAAAGCUGGAAAGACAUCGGAAGAGAUCUGUAAAGCCAUCCAAACGUUCGACUUGCGGACAAUCCCUGUGGAUUUUGUGGAGUGUCUGGUGCGCUUCCUUCCCACAGAAGCAGAAGUUAAGUUACUCAGACAGUAUGAGAGGGAGCGGAAGCCUCUGGAGGACCUUUCUGAUGAAGAUCGAUUUAUGAUGCUCUUCAGCAAAGUGGAACGUCUCUCCCAGAGAAUGUCCAUCAUGACUUUCAUGGGCAACUUCAAUGAGAACCUGCAGCUGCUGACACCGCAACUUAAUGCGGUGAUUGCAGCGUCUGCUUCAGUGAAAUCCUCUCCAAAGUUGAAGCAAAUGCUGGAGAUUAUCCUCGCUCUAGGCAAUUACAUGAACAGCAGCAAAAGAGGAUCCGUUUACGGGUUCAAACUGCAGAGCUUGGACUUGCUGCAAGACACAAAGUCAACGGACAGGAAGAUGACCCUGUUAAACUACAUUGCAUUGAUCUGCAAGGAGAAGUAUUCAGAGGUGGCCACUUUCUACAAUGAGCUUCACUUUGUGGAGAAGGCAGCAGCAGUGUCUCUAGAAAAUGUGCUACUAGAUGUCCGAGAGUUGGGGAAGGGGAUGGACCUGAUCCGCAAGGAGAGCAGCCACCAUGAUCACAGCGUACUGAAGAGUUUUGUCAGCACAAAUGAAGGGAAACUGGACAAGCUUCAGAAGGAUGCUCGGACUGCGGAGGAAGCAUACGCAGCUGUGGUGCAUUAUUUUGGAGAAAGUCCAAAGACAACGCCACCCUCUGUUUUCUUUCCAGUGUUCGCCAGAUUCAUCAAAUCAUAUAAGGAUGCCGAGCAAGGGAAUGAGAUGCGGAAGAAGCAGGAGGAGGUAAUGAGAGAGAAAUUACUAGCUCAGGAGGCAAAGAAGAUGGACCCUAAGGCUCCAGUGCCAAAAAAUAAGCGUCAGCAACAAGACUUGAUAGCUGAGCUGCGGCGGCGGCAGGCCAAGGACCAUCGCCCGGUGUAUGAAGGAAAGGAUGGAACCAUUGAGGACAUAAUCACAGUCCUGAAGAGUGUCCCCUUCACAGCCAGAACGGCCAAGAGAGGCUCUCGGUUCUUCUGUGAUACAUCCCUUUUUGAGGAUUCAAACUGUUAAGCCCAGUGCCCUUUAAAAAAUUAGACCCAUGAAGAUUCAUCUGUAGUAUCCCUCCUAUGGUAGAGGACCUCCGCAAUCAGCCUUACAGAAGAGCAGACGCGGUCCUCCGGAACGCCUGGCGACGGAUCUAGCACUUCCAGUUCAGAAGUCGGCUGGGCUGUGUAUUGCCCCCACGAUGCGUCAGAGUGAUAGAACUCACCAGUUUACGCUGCACUCCUCCCGCCAUUCCACAUUGUAAGGGAAAUGAAGAAGCUGGGACACUUUAGAGAGGAGAAAAGUGCCUUAUUGCUACAGUAUUAUAGAACUAUUUUUUUUUUUCUUUUACUAUUUAUAUAUUUUUUUAAUGUUUUAUUGUUAAAACUGUAAAUAGUUUGUAAUAUUCUUUGCUGAAUCUGUCCUAGCUGCUGUGGGCAAUAAUUGUUGCAAAAAAAAAAAAAGUGCCUUGUAAGUGUUAAGCCUGCAGGUGGAUAGUCUGAACACUAAAGUGAUGCAGCGACUGAAGCGUUAGCGUGUAGUGGAGGGGUUGGCUAUGUUUUAUAAGGGUCUGGUUGUGACGUGGUCAUUGGAACUAGAUUCACAUCACCCAAGAAAUUGGUAAUGGUGACUGGAGAAGGUAGAGAACAAGUAGAGAAUUUGCCAUGAUUGCUUCAGAAUGUUGUGAGGUGAUCUAUCAAGUGUGGCAAGUAGGCAGAUGUAGAAAUUCACAUGAAGAUCUAAGGGGAAUGGCGAUAAUAGUAAGUAGGCGGUGGUGAGGACACCUAUCAGAUGCCAUUCCUUACCGUAGAAUCAGAAUAUGCAUGGCAUAAGGUAUAUUCAAGCCUGUGAAUGUUUAUAUUAGAACGCCGCUCACGCUAGCUUUCUUGUAUCAGGAUAUCAUAGAUGUCUACUUUACUAUCAUUACGUAGCAUUUGUUUUUAUAACCCUCGAAGGGUCACUGACAUAGAGACUUAUCAAAGGCUUUGAUUGAUGGGGUUCCGAGUGCUGAGACCCCCACCAAUCACUUGUACGAGGGGUGAGAGGGGCUCACAUAUCAUGCUCUCUCUCCUCAGUGCAGGAGAGGACGCAAGAUGGAUUCAAUAGAAAGCCUAUGGGCCCGCAGUGAGGAGAGAGAGUGCACUAUGAGAGCACUUCUCUCUCCUCUUUUAAGUGAUCGAUGGGGCUCUCAGUACUCAGACUUCCACCCAUCAAAACUUUUCAUUGCUCUAUGACAUAUCAAAAGAUUUAUGAAAACAGGAAAUACCAUUGCCCCCCAUUCAGAUGUAACUGUAUAUGUGUCCUGCCUGACUUUUUUCAGGUCUUCAUGCUUCUGCGCGAUCCUGCCUGCUGACACUGGCAGUGUAGCCCACCAUUACCGUCACUUGGGGAGACAAUGCAUGGCACCCUGUUACUAUACCUUUGGGAAUAAAAGCAAUGCUAAGAAGGUUUAGUAAAUUGGACAUCUAUCUUUUAGAAUCCACGAUGCAUAGACCUCAGACCUAUACACAGUGAUAUUUCCAGUCUGCACACAUUUUAAUAAUUAUAUAUCAAAAUCUAUAUAUAUGUAUUUUAGCUUUAGCUGAACUGAGUAUCUAGCAAUGCUGCCCCAUUCCUACCCAUACAUACUUCACAAUGAAGUUUUUCUUUAUAUUUCGGUAGGUUUGGGAUUUGGAUGUUAUGAUUUGAUGUGCUACCCUAUGUCUGUGUCUAGGGGGCAGUAGCGUUACCCUGUUUUUUAAUUUUGGUAAAGUUAAUUUAUUUCUAAAUUGUCCAAACCUGGAGCUUUAUAUGUACAGUCUUAGAACAGAAUGUGAUCUGUAAUUGCCUGGAGCUUUUCUUGGACAUCAGGCAGUCAGUGACACUAAUUGCCAAAGUCUUCUUUCAGUUUGCUCAGUUCCUAAAAAGAAUUGUAUUUUUAAUAUAGCGCUAAGCGAGAGGUAUUUUAAUAGGUGAAGAAAAAGGGGGCUACGACUUUUAAGUGACACAUUUAGCUUUUUAAGAAAGAGGGUAAGGUGAAGCAGCGAUUUGUAGUAAGGUUAAGGGGCCAAAUUAUAGUAAAGAGCCAGGACGUUCUCAUCCUGUCUCUGUGACAUUCCAUAUUUGCGUCCCGUCACCAGCAGCGAGCACAUUGUCAUGUUGGGCUUACUAUGUGUUAGUUGCUUUAUCUAGUUAUGUUUUGUCAAGCUUUUAGCAGGUUUAGGUCAUAUAUGUCAAGGUAUAUGAAGUUAGGCCAGCACCAUGCGCAAAUGUUGGUUAGGGACCAAACCCUGCUGACUAAGGAUGGUGGUAGGAGCCAUGUAGACAUGCACCUUAUGCUCCUGCUAGACAGUCUAUCUGCUCCUAGGGCCGCCUUAUGUCGCCCUAUAUUUUACACCAUUGUAAAUCAUCUGGAAUCUGUUUUAUAAAACCUUUUAUAAUAUUGUAUCAGAUUUGGCAUUGUCUCCUUGGCCAGAAAUGACAGUUGAAAUAAUUGUUAACUCACUACUAUGUAGCCAAGCCAUAAAGGCCGGCGGCCAACUAUACCUUUGUGUCAUCCAGCAUGUAUUGUAAUCAUUCCAUGGUAUAAAACUGUAACUUGUGCAUGUGAAAUACAUUCCGAGCCGCCUCCAUUGCGGUGCAGCCGCUCUGGCUAUGGAGAGGUUCCAGUGCCUUUUCUCAGUGUAUUAAUCUUGUACAGUAUGUUAGAUGCCAGUACUUGUCUGUUACAGGUCUUUUUUUUUUUCUUUUCAUUUCACAUCUGGUCAGAUUUCAGGAAAUUAUUUAGCUCUCUUAUGUUAUUGUGUUUUAUUUUGUCGACAAUAAAUGUGCAGAGCCCUA